rnacentral:rRNA from 1 species
AACGAACGCUGGCGGCAUGCCUAACACAUGCAAGUCGAACGAGACCUUCGGGUCUAGUGGCGCACGGGUGCGUAACGCGUGGGAACCUGCCCUUAGGUUCGGAAUAACUCCCCGAAAGGGGUGCUAAACCGGAUAAUGUUUUCGGACCAAAGAUUUAUCGCCUUUGGAUGGGCCCGCGUUGGAUUAGCUAGUUGGUAGGGUAAAAGCCUACCAAGGCGACGAUCCAUAGCUGGUCUGAGAGGAUGAUCAGCCACACUGGGACUGAGACACGGCCCAGACUCCUACGGGAGGCAGCAGUGGGGAAUAUUGGACAAUGGGCGAAAGCCUGAUCCAGCAAUGCCGCGUGAGUGAUGAAGGCCUUAGGGUUGUAAAGCUCUUUUACCCGGGAUGAUAAUGACAGUACCGGGAGAAUAAGCUCCGGCUAACUCCGUG